rnacentral:rRNA from 1 species
UACGUAGGGUGCGAGCGUUGUCCGGAAUUAUUGGGCGUAAAGGGCUCGUAGGCGGUCUGUCGCGUCGGGAGUGAAAACUCAGGGCUUAACCCUGAGCCUGCUUCCGAUACGGGCAGACUAGAGGUAUGCAGGGGAGAACGGAAUUCCUGGUGUAGCGGUGGAAUGCGCAGAUAUCAGGAGGAACACCGGUGGCGAAGGCGGUUCUCUGGGCAUUACCUGACGCUGAGGAGCGAAAGUGUGGGGAGUGAACAGG